GGAUCGGGAGGUCACCUUGGGUCGGUGGCCAUGAAUUGAUCCGAACCAGCCAUCUCUGAUGGACAGGCCGCCGUGGCCCGACGGUGUGCUUC
rfam:Rhodobacteraceae bacterium HLTCCO07 ITZY_scaf_134, whole genome shotgun sequence.